UGAAACGUAAUUGUUUUUACUUAACUAGAAUCAUCUCAUCAUGAGCUUUCGAUUGAUGUAUAAUUUGUAUUGCUUAUACUGUUGAUAUCAAUAUAUUCCGGCUGUCUACAUAUUCUGUACAACAAUCGCAAAAACAAUGAAAUAGAAAUAAUUGCUUGACUUUUGAUGAAAGUUAUUGCCUGUAAGUGACACUUUCAGUGAGACUUGGAAAAACAAUUUUAAUACAUGAUAAAAACAGUGUGGUCUACUUAUUUUCGCUGUUUUCAUUUUAAACUGACUCUCUUUUCCUGUUUUUGAAACUCUCAUUGUCUGGUGUAACAGUAGUUCAGUAGUGCAACAGUGUUGAAGCAGUCGCUAAAAGUUCAAGAUAGAUCGGAAAAAGGUUUACAUUCAGGUGAGUAGUUUCAUUUUAAUGUUAAGUUUUUAAUAGUCCCAUAGGUAGGCGUAAAUAACGAAAGUUUGAGCUUUGAGCACACGUUUUUUUAUUUAAAGCCUAGCUCCAGUCCUAGUACUAAAUUAAAUUCUAAAUUAAAUUCUACAUUCUGCCCUUAGCAAUGGAUGCAAACUGCCAUGUUUGCAGGAAUGCUGUUGGCAAAGCACAUCAAUGUAUUAAGUGCAAAAGCUUCAUUCCCAUAUUUUGCGGCAUCACAGAAGAGGAAGAAGGCUAUGGACAAAGGGCUAUUUGCAACAAAUGCAUAGAUAAUGAUGAGGAUGACGUGAAAAUAACAGAAGCAGAAAAUAAGAAAAGAGAACCUGCACCACAACCAGAAAAGAAAAGACAACUCUCUGUAUAUGAUUGUAUACCGAUAAAGAAGCCUGAAAAAAGCCUG